GAUUAAGCCAUGCAUGUGUAAGUAGAAAUAAUUCUACUUUGAAACUGCGAAUGGCUCAUUAUAUCAGUUAUAGUUUAUUUGAUGAAAUGUACUACUUGGAUAACCGUAGUAAUUCUAGAGCUAAUACAUGAUCAAUUCCUCGACUUUGAAGAGGUGUAUUUAUUAGAAUGAAAACCAAUAGACUUUGUCUGUUUGUGAGUAAUAAUAACUUGUCAUAUCGCAUGCUUAGGUAGCGAUGUUUCUUUUAAGUUUCUGCCCUAUCAGCUUUCGAUGGUAGUGUAUUGGACUACCAUG
rnacentral:rRNA from 1 species